UUGAAAUACCACCCUUUAAUGUUUGAUGUUCUAACGUUGGCCCGUAAUCCGGGUUGCGGACAGUGUCUGGUGGGUAGUUUGACUGGGGCGGUCUCCUCCUAAAGAGUAACGGAGGAGCACGAAGGUUGGCUAAUCCUGGUCGGACAUCAGGAGGUUAGUGCAAUGGCAUAAGCCAGCUUGACUGCGAGCGUGACGGCGCGAGCAGGUGCGAAAGCAGGUCAUAGUGAUCCGGUGGUUCUGAAUGGAAGGGCCAUCGCUCAACGGAUAAAAGGUACUCCGGGGAUAACAGGCUGAUACCGCCCAAGAGUUCAUAUCGACGGCGGUGUUUGGCACCUCGAUGUCGGCUCAUCACAUCCUGGGGCUGAAGUAGGUCCCAAGGGUAUGGCUGUUCGCCAUUUAAAGUGGUACGCGAGCUGGGUUUAGAACGUCGUGAGACAGUUCGGUCCCUAUCUGCCGUGGGCGCUGGAGAACUGAGGGGGGCUGCUCCUAGUACGAGAGGACCGGAGUGGACGCAUCACUGGUGUUCGGGUUGUCAUGCCAAUGGCACUGCCCGGUAGCUAAAUGCGGAAGAGAUAAGUGCUGAAAGCAUCUAAGCACGAAACUUGCCCCGAGAUGAGUUCUCCCUGACUCCUUGAGAGUCCUGAAGGAACGUUGAAGACGACGACGUUGAUAGGCCGGGUGUGUAAGCGCAGCGAUGCGUUGAGCUAACCGGUACUAAUGAACCGUGAGGCUUAACCUUACAACGCCGAAG
rnacentral:rRNA from 1 species